rnacentral:tRNA from 1 species
AGUUCAGUUGGUUAGAAUACAUGCCUGUCACGCAUGGGGUCGCGGGUUCGAGUCCCGUC